UCGACGAAACAGGGGUGCUUUGCCCACAGGCGCGCAUGAUUUUCAUGCCGUAGCGGCAAGGCUGAGAGAGACCCUUUGCACCCGAUCCGGGUAAUACCGGCGCGGGAAGUUUCCGGAAGCAGCCA
rnacentral:ncRNA from 2 species